rnacentral:rRNA from 1 species
CCUACGGGAGGCAGCAGUGGGGGAUAUUGCACAAUGGGGGGAACCCUGAUGCAGCGACGCCGCGGGGGUGAAGAAGCGCCUCGGCGCGUAAAGCCCUGUCAGCAGGGAAGAAAAUGACGGUACCUGAAGAAGAAGCCCCGGCUAACUACGUGCCAGCAGCCGCGGUAAUACGUAGGGGGCAAGCGUUAUCCGGAUUUACUGGGUGGAAAGGGGGCGCAGACGGCGAUGCAAGCCAGGAGUGAAAGCCCGGGGCCCAACCCCGGGACUGCUCUGUGAAAUGCGUGGCUGGAGUGCAGGAGGGGCAGGCGGAAUUCCUGGUGUAGCGGUGAAAUGCGUAGAUAUCAGGAGGAACACCGGUGGCGAAGGCGGCCUGCUGAACUGCAACUGACGUUGAGGCCCGAAAGCGUGGGGAGCAAACAGGAUUAGAUACCCGGGUAGUC